GACGAAAUCGAAGCAGUGGUGCACAGAGGCAGACACGCCAAGGCGCACAUACACGUGUGCAUCCAUCACCCAUACAGAAGCGAACCUGUCGCGUGCGCCGGCGUGUGGACGUACGAAACACCGGCGGCGGUAGCGGUGGCUUUUUUGGUUUGCUGUGCUGCACUCUUCACAUGGAUUGUGGCGACGACGCCCGCAUACGUAACACGCAUUUUAGACACAAAGAAAUAGACGAACCAGCCGCCGCGAGCACGACACCGACCAGACACGCGCAGACCGCGAGCGCGAGCGCGAGAAGUAUUGUGGUGUGUUCACCGCGUCUUCUAUUCAGGUCUAUCUCGCCGUGUCUCUCUUCUCUUCUAUCCAUCCACGGUCCGCGCGUCUUUGUGUGUGUGUGUGUUUGUCGAAGGCCCUCGCGCGGGAGGUGGGUGCGUGCACACGCACGCGACAACGACGACGACACAUCACGAGACAUAGAGAAGAAGCCAUCGCCAUCGAAGCUUCCACGCAGAGCCGCUGUCGUGCUGUGCGCAUCCAGCAAGGGAAAACGAAAGAGGAUCACGUAACGACGCUCUAUAAACGGCGUGAGAGGUGUGGAGAGGCCGGCGCGCCUCGGUAAUCGCGUAAAGGCGGCGUUCCGGCACGGGCCAUAAGCCCAUCUUUUCUCCGCCGUGCAUCUAUUCCUGUGUCAGUCCGGGUCCAGGUGUCCUUCGAAGCGUCUCCACGCACGCAUCAGGCACGAAUGAAGAGGGUGCAUGCAGAGACACACACACACGCACACGCAUCCCACCUACACGUGCAUAUCUGCGUACACCUGCGCUCUAAAAUUGAGUCUGCUCACGACGACAGCUGCAUAAUCGAUAGUGCCCGGCACGUCGACCUCGGGCGCUGAUGCUGCCAUCUCGAGGUCUGCUUCAACGUGGAACCUUGGCAGCCACUGCGGCUCGAUGGGCCUCCUCUCCCUCGUCCUCGGUGGCGCGCCGAUCGCCCAGGGACACCAGCGCGACCACAUCGCGGCAGCCCACGCACAACCUCUGUCCUCCGUCUUCAGCUGCGGAGAAGCGCGAAGCCGACGCCGGCGAGGGUGCAACGGCGCCAAGCCCUGCUGCACAUGCGGCUGCAGAAAAGGAUGUGGAUGAGGUGGAGCGUCUCCUCACCGUCACUGCGACGCGCGCUGCGCCUGCUAGCCCGACACCAUCUACGCAGACACCCACCCCCAUGCUCGCGUCGUCAUUGCUGUCCAUUACCGGCGCCACCACCGCGGCACCGGACACGAUCGUGGACCCAGGCGCAGCGCUGCACUCCAAGGCCCUCCACCAAGCGGAGGUGAGCACACGCGGCAGGGAUAGACCGACGCACGUGCAGCUGGAGCAGAUCGACCGGCGCCGCAGCAAGCCAAGUCUGUCCGAAGCCGAGUUUGGUGUGGGAAUGACGGAGCGGCUGCUGCCGGAGUUGCCGCGUCUGCCAGCGUUGCAUGAGGUACACUACGGCGACGCUGUGGUGCGGGAGCUGGACCGCAGUACGUACUUUGCGCUGAAGCAGGGCAGCAGCACGAGUGCAGCCACGCCAUCAAUGAGCGCUGGUGCCGGCCACCCCUCGACAGACACGGCGGCGGCGCCCGGCAACGCUGCCGUGGUCGUCAUCAACGGCGAGGCGUGUGUGGAGAUGAGCCUGGACGAGGACUUGAGCGAGGCUAGUUUUGCGGCCUUCGAUGCCGAGGCGGGCAAGGCAGCGCCCCGCGCCACCACCCCUGCCCGCACUGUCGCCGCGGCCGCUGCUGCGUUGUGUGUUAAAGAAGACAUCGACGCCACCGACGCUCCGGCGUCUGGCCACAGCAACGGUGACGCCACCGACGCGGAGGAGGACGGUCUCUCGCUACAGCUCAACUUUGGCGCGGAGCGGCCGUGGUUUGUGCCGACCUCCGGGGUCGUGCAGCUGCACCCGCUGUCGCCGCAAGACUGCGCGCUGCUGCUGCGGUUCGUGCUGCGCCUACGCCAGCAGACCGAAGUCGACCUUGUGCCGUCGCUGCGCCGCGCACUGAUUGCUGCCGAGCAGCGGACAGCAGAGACGGGGGCCGGCGGAGAGGGCCGCGCGAGGAGAGGUGGCGCUUCCGUGAUGUCGGAGCCGCCACAAGCGUCGUUGUCAAGCGAACCUGCCACAGGCAGUCGUGGCCGCCGUCCUCACCUGACCUUAGCCGAUGUGGUUCGCUACCUGGACACCGCGCCGCCGCCGGUGAUCGCCUUUACGGAGUCGCUCCCAGCCAAUUGCGCGAGCCCCUACACGUCCAGCUCUGUCCACGACUCCACAUCACCUGCCUUCGUGUUUCACAUGUACCUCGAGAACAUCUCCUCGCAGAAUGCCCUCGGACACCUGGCUGGCCUCUUCGGCAUUCCUCUGCGCUCCUUCCAGACGCACACCGCUGCGAGCAAGAUGUCGUGCAGCACGGUGAUAUGCGCCAUCGCCGAGAACCUCGUGCGACGUGAGCACCUGCUGCUGCUCAACACCCUGCGGCACCCGGGAUUCGUGCUGCGCGUGAGCGACAUUCGCGAAGUGCGCGAGGACGUGCACGGCCCCUCUGACGACUCCGGCAGCGCGGACGCGUCGUCGCCGUCGCCCACGUCGCAGCGCUUGUUUCGCGAGCUCGCCCGCUGGCAGCCCCUGUACCACACGGAAGUGCUUCUGCGGCGUGUGUGCAGCGCGGGCAGCACCGCGAGUGGCAGCGGCCUGUCGACGCGGCAGCAGCUCGAGCACCGCCUGCGCGCGGUGCAGACGGUCGGCGCCAUCUGCUUCUGUGCAAACCGCGAGGCGUCUUUGGCGCGUGCCGCGACGGACGUGCUGCACAACUUUUUCCGCUCUGCACUGCUGAACGCGCUGCAGCGCCGCAAGGCGCCGGUGCCGCUGACCCGCUUCCUGAAGCGACCCAACUUAGCAACGGCGCAGCACGCGCAUCACGUGAGUACCGAUGUGACCGUUCGGCAGGUGCUGAAGGCCUUUAUGCAGUGCAACGGUGACUGGCACGCGACGGUGGUGCGCACGCCCUACGUGUGGCGCCGCCGCUGGAUCAACGCGCUGCGCGGGCUUGUCUGGAACACUAUGGCGAGCCAGCGCAUCCGCAAGGCGGGGCGGGAGGUCUGCCUCGGUGAUGUCGUGCUGAAGCCAGAGUACCGCGAUGACGUGCAUCGGCGCGGCAUCAUGACGGUGAAAGCGGAGCACGUGAUGGUCGUGACGACGUCUGCGGAAGCGCAGGCGGCGUGCAUGGAAGACGUUUUCAUUCCUUUCCUCCGCGGUCGCUACCCAGAGCAUCUCUUCGCCGACGAGUCCACCGGGCAUCCGAUCAUGACGCGCACGAACAUGCUAGCCCUGCUGCGAGCAAUGCACGCACCGCAGCUGCUUCUCGGCUUCACCGAUGAGGUGCGGCUGCUGCUAGACAUCAGAGCCGACGUCUCGCCGCUGCUUUUCCGCCGCCUGCUAGUGCGGCCGCUGGAGCUUGAGUUCGCCAUCUUGGAAGACAAGCCUCCCAUGCGCGCGCUGCACUUCGACGCGGCACGGCUGCUCACGAAUGACCGCUGGCUGGCCGCGGAUGGCGUGAAGCAGCAGCAGCCAUCCUCGCGAACAGGACUCAACGACGACAACGGCAGCAGCGGCAAUGCUCGGCGUCCAGCAGCGCUGCAGCUGACCCGCGCGAGUCAUCUUAUACCACCAAGCGUCGUGCUGGAACGCACAACCCUCGGCACUCGCCUCGCCUCCGGCAUCCUCUCCGAGGAGUUCUUCAGCGUUCCCUCGGCCGACGACUACGUCGUGCUCGGCCACGCCCACCGCCAUCUCGACGGAGAUCUGGUCCAAGCAGCCCCACACUCUGACACCGCCGUCGUGGGCGAUCGCGUGUACUCGGUGUAUAUCCGUGCUGUGGUGGAGCACAACCUUGCCGGUCUGUCGAGCAUGCUGCGCGAGUACUUUGUGCUCUCCGGCAUCGAGACGGAGGCAGACAGCUCGCUGCAGCACAAGGUGCACCGCAUGCGGCGCGAGCUUGAUCCAGAGACAGAGCUGCUGACGGCGCCGGUGUACUGUUCAACGUGCUACAACCGCGACCAUGACACACAGGAGCAGUGUGCUGAGUACCAAUACAAGCGCCAUCGACGUGGUGCGCAGCUCGAUCUGGCCGCUGCCGCUCUCCAGCUAGAGGAAGAUGCGCAUAUGAGGGGGAUGGAGCACGAAAGAGGUGCGGCACUGCCUCCGGCUGGGAUGCCGGAGAAGAGGCGUGGCAACUUGGGAAGAGACGAGGUCUCGGUGACUGGUCCGGCCGCCUCGAUGCCGCCUGCGGCGUCGACGGCAGCCACAACGCCGGUGCCUGCGCGCACGGUGUGCAUGCGCUGGCGGCUGAGGCGCCGCCAUGACGAGCAGCGCUGGGGCGUGCGUUUGACAAAAUCGCUUCACCUCGUCGGCAUCGACGAUGCAUCACUCCUGCGAGAGGCCGCGGUGUGGUGUAGCGCGACCAGCGAGGCCUGUGACGCUGUGAGCAGUGCAUCGACAACGGCAGCGGCCAUGCCGGACGAGGCCGAGGUUUGCCCGUGGCCAUCCUCCUGGAUCGCUCAGAGCGCCCCGGUGGACGAGCAGGCUCCGCCGUCAUCGUCGUCAGCGCUGCGCAUCCUUGAGUUCUUGCGUGCCGCACUUCGUGGCAGCGUCGACACAGACACAGACACAAACACAGCCUCACAGCAGCUGGCCGCGCUUACUGAACUUCUUGCGCAGUCUCCGCUGGUGCGGCUGCAGCCGGCUGCAUUGGCAGUGGCGCUGCCGCCGUCCGCUGCGGCGCCGGCGGCGUCGCAGGUGAAGGCGUGCAAGUGGCGCUUGGCGAAGGUGAACGCGAAGCCCGUUGCCACCCAGCGCGACGUGGCCGCUGCCAUGCUCACCGAAGCUGGGAAGUCGCGCGAGGUGUGGCUCACCUUCGAAGUACCAAUAGGCGCCGCCGCCGAGAACCGCAGCGCUGACGUGUCGACGCGCGUGCAGCCUGGUGCCAGUGACAGCCCGGGUGCGCUUACGAAGCGCGACGACGCCGGCUCGAUUGCCUCGCGAGGUGUCGUCCCGCAGAGCACCGCUGCGAUGCCACCACAGCGUCGGCACGAAACAGAGGCGGCGAUGCGGCGUGCCUUGCGCAAGGUCAGCCCCGACACACGGCGGUGGGUGCAGGACUUGCCGUACCGAGUCACCAUUGUCCUCAAGAAGGACCGUCGCCAGGUGCAGGCACACCGCUCGUGGGGGCUGCAGCUCGACGGGACGGACAUGACGCUCGUGAACUUCGCGAAGCUGAUGUUGCGGUUUAUGGCUGACUCGGGCACACACGAUAAGCAGGGGCAUGGCGGUGGGCGUUGCUCGGUUGCCUCCAUCGCCCCUGGCGAAGCGUUCCCUCGCCUUAGCAGCAGCAGCAGCGACAAGAACGAUCACCACCUUCACAGCACCUCGAAACUGCUGAGCGACCUUGAUCCAAUAUUGAUGCCGGUUUUGAACGACAUGUACCAUGUCGUGCGCAUCCGUAACACGCCGGUGCGCCACAAGGCGGAAGCGGCGCGUGCGAUGGCGGACUUUCAGGCAUUGCUGGACGCGGCGUUGGCGUCCGCAGACGUCGCUGAGCCGUCCGCGCCGCCUCGAGGCGGUGGCCAUCGCGACGCACAUGCGAACAUGUCAGCCUCGAACGAAGAGUUCUUUCUCACGCUCACCUUAGAGCGCAAGGCCUCAAGCUACCAACUCUGCAACUCGCCAGCCACGGAGCAGGGGCUAAAGCCCGCAGCUGCUGAGCUCAGCGACCGCGGCGACGCUCCUGUGUCGGCAAACGGGUCCCUGUCUGCUGCUGCGCUGUCGGCCCCAGCCGCAGCAGCAGUGGUGGACGCGGCCCUUCUCUCGGGUUUGGCAACAGAGCGCUGCCCGGUGCGGCCCAUCACAGAGGUGCAGCUCUCGCGCAGCGUCGUCACGGUUGCCAUCAACCGUCUGCUGCUCACGAGCGCGACAAUGGACAAGUGGGGGCUGCGGCUGCAGCAGGGCACGCGGCGGCUGAAGGCGAUACAGGAGAACCAGUACUUCAGCUUCCACGUUUUCGCGGACAAGAAGUCGCAGGGGACCCGCAUCGCCGACACGCUGCGCCUCAUUCCCGCCUCCAACGCCGCGACGGGGGCGGCAACACGGAGAGAUGCAUCGACCUCGGCGGCAAGACGCGCUCAUCACCUCUAUUACGUGGAACGCGUUAACCGCACUGCGGUUCGCUCGCACGCAGAGCUGCGGCAGGCGCUGCUAACGGCUGCCCAGCCGGCGCAGCAGCAGCAGCAGGAGUUGGGGCGUGGCCUGACGCCGAUUCCAGCCCUCCCUCCCGAGUCCGUGACGUUAGGCGUCCGCCAGUUCCCGCUGCUGCGGCUUUCAGCGACCGUCCGUCGCGGCGGCGUAGGUGAAGAGAGCGCGCUCGGCCCCGUGGGCCUCCAGGUGGACAACCGCAUGCAAGUAGUCGCCGUGUUCGCGGGCAGCCCCAUGGCCCGCGCUCUCGACGAGGCUGCAGGACCCAUCUGCUCUCUUCGGCGGCUUAUCCGAGACCGCAGCGACGCUAGAGGUGUUCUGGACAGCACACCAGAGGUAGGCUCGGAGGCGGCGUGGGACGUUGUUCGAGAUCCGCAGUUGCGGGAAUCGCUGGCGCGGUUGGUGGCUGCCACCUCAGUGCCCCCCAGCAGCUCUGCAGGCAGCAGCGCCGGCAGUGGCACCGACGAGCCGCGCUCGGCAGGGACGGUCACGACAGUGGUGAAGAAGCCGGUGCGGCGCCAAUGGAACUACGGCAUGGACGAAGACGACGGAGAGAACAGUGGCGGUGGUAAUGACGCCCCUGAUGCUCGCGUGGCGGCGGCAGCUACCGGCACGUCGCCCGGCGCGCCGGCAGUGCCGGUCUCAGCGCCGUCCCUGCCGCUAGUGGAGGAAGAGUCGGCUGUCCGCGCCGCUCUGCGCGACCUUGCUGCCGUCGCGGCAUAUAUACAACAGCAGCUCUGCAAGUGCACAAUGGUGGACGGUGUACACAUGCUUCAAGCGUCGAUGCUGCAGGAGUUCGCGUUGGCGCAGCUGGCCAAGCUGGACCAACAUCACGGGCCAUCAUCAGACGGCGCGCCAUCCUCCGAGGAGGCGGCGGCGAUGUUGGCAGCGGUACGGACAGAGCUGGCGCAGCUGCAUGAGCGUGUCGUCUCAGUGCAUCACGAAGUUCGCUGGGAGGUUGUGUACGCAGUGGCGUCGAAUCGGCCUCUGCGCACGCCGGCGGACUUGGCAGCUGCCUUCGCGCCUGGCGUUGCCGAGGAGACCAUCAUACUUCAGCAGCUGAUGGAGGACUGACACGCCGCCAGAGGAGGCAGGAGCAAAGUCGGAGGGGCUUUAGGGGGAACGAGAGAGCGCGCGAGAGAUGGUGGACGGCGGCAAUAUGAUGUACUCCGGGGCGACGAGGACGAGAGUGUGUGUGGGGAGAGGGGGGAGGGGGGUGGAUGGAUGAGCUGCCGCAGCGUCACUCGUCCACACCCUUGUCCUGGCCUCCUAUGGCUUCUUGUAACAACGAUGAUGCAGCCUACCGGUGGCCGAGUGCACGUGCACUCGCCUGCGUGCGUGCGUGUGUGUGUGUGUGUGUGUGUGUGUGCUGAACCAUGACUAAGCGGAACAGGCGCACACGUCGAAUAAAGGGCCGAAGAAAGCACAGCAGGAACACAGGGAUGAAGACACAGACGGGGGGGAGGCAACACCUUUCUCGCGUCGAGUGUCAAGGACGGAUGUGUGCGUGGUGCACACAACCCGUCUAUUUGUGCGUGCGUGUGUGUGUGUGUGUGUGUGCCCGUGCCUCUCUCUUGCGUUAGAGGAGGAAGGGAGCAAGAUGUGUCGAGAGCAGAAGCAGCGCGAGGGGUGGGGAGGACGGCGCAGACAAGGCGGCGGUGUUGUACAUGCAUGAUCGAUACUCAGCCACAGGCGCACACACACACAAAAACACACACCACCACCACAACCACCCUGUCUCUCGCCCCUUGCGCCGCUUCGCAUGGAGCAUGGGAAGCGUUAGUGGCCCAUCUCGCCGCCGCCGCCUCAAGCAAGGGCGUGCGAAAAGGGGCGAGGGCACCGUUGAGCUCAAGCGCGCGCUGCUGCACACAGACACACACUUACGCAGAGAUAGAGAUAUUCGCCUUCCACCACUUCUUCUCUCUUGCUCUUGUGCAUGUCCGGCACAAUGGGGCGCGACUCGUUGGCAUGGCAAUCGUGAUUCUACUUCUCUUCACCUCCAUCGUCCCCAUUCCCGACUCUCUUCCAUGAGUGUAUAUAUGCUGCUGCUGCUGUUCCACUUGCACUCCAUCCACGCGCACACGCCCGCGCGCUUCUCUUCUUGCUGGAGAAAACAG
rnacentral:misc_RNA from 1 species